UACGGAGGGUGCGAGCGUUGUCCGGAAUCACUGGGCGUAAAGGGCGCGUAGGUGGCGUCGCAAGUCAACGGUGAAAGCUCGACGCUCAACGUCGAGUCGGCCGUCGAGACUGCGAGGCUUGAGCACUGUAGAGGCAGAUGGAAUUCCGGGUGUAGCGGUGGAAUGCGUAGAGAUGCGGAGGAACACCGAUGGCGAAGGCAGCCCCCUGGGCUAACACUGACGCUCAGGCACGAAAGCGUGGGGAGCAAACAGG
rnacentral:rRNA from 1 species